rnacentral:rRNA from 1 species
GAACGCUGGCGGCGUGCCUAAUACAUGCAAGUCGAGCGAACAGAUAAGGAGCUUGCUCCUUUGACGUUAGUGGCGGACGGGUGAGUAACACGUGGGUAACCUACCUAUAAGACUGGAAUAACUCCGGGAAACCGGGGCUAAUGCCGGAUAACAUUUAGAACCGCAUGGUUCUAAAGUGAAAGAUGGUUUUGCUAUCACUUAUAGAUGGACCCGCGCCGUAUUAGCUAGUUGGUAAGGUAACGGCUUACCAAGGCAACGAUACGUAGCCGACCUGAGAGGGUGAUCGGCCACACUGGAACUGAGACACGGUCCAGACUCCUACGGGAGGCAGCAGUAGGGAAUCUUCCGCAAUGGGCGAAAGCCUGACGGAGCAACGCCGCGUGAGUGAUGAAGGUCUUCGGAUCGUAAAACUCUGUUAUUAGGGAAGAACAAAUGUGUAAGUAACUGUGCACGUCUUGACGGUACCUAAUCAGAAAGCCACGGCUAACUACGUG